GACGUAGGGCGCGAGCGUUGUCCGGAUUUAUUGGGCGUAAAGAGCUCGUAGGCGGUUUGUCGCGUCUGCCGUGAAAGUCCGGGGCUCAACUCCGGAUCUGCGGUGGGUACGGGCAGACUAGAGUGAUGUAGGGGAGACUGGAAUUCCUGGUGUAGCGGUGAAAUGCGCAGAUAUCAGGAGGAACACCGAUGGCGAAGGCAGGUCGCUGGGCAUUAACUGACGCUGAG
rnacentral:rRNA from 1 species